rnacentral:tRNA from 1 species
GCCUUUGAGGCGUAACGGUAGCACAUUUGGCUGGUAUUCGAGAAUCCCAGGUUCGAGUCUCGGCAAGGGCA